rnacentral:lncRNA from 1 species
AAGAAGUGAACCAAGGAAUAUGUUCCCUCCUGCUAGAUCAAUGGAACAUGUGGGUCAGAGUACAAGAGAGUCAAUUAGGUCAGAGCCCCAGUUCCCAUAUCCACGACGGCAACCACCUCAAAAUAUGGGCCAGAAUCUGAGAGAGUCAGCUAGGUCUGAGCCACAGUUCCCAUAUCCUCAACGGCAACCUCCACAAAGUAUGGGCCAGAGUCCGCAAGAGUCAGUUAGGUCAGAGCCCCAGUUCCCAUAUCCACGAUGGCAACCACCUCAAAAUAUGGGCCAAAGUACAAGAGAGUCAGUUAGGUCAGAGCCCCAGUUCUCAUAUCCACUACGGCAACCACCUCAAAAUAUGAAUGCCUCAUCCUCAGUGCGAGACACAAAGCAAGUCG